rnacentral:rRNA from 1 species
AAUUCGCCCUUAGAGUUUGAUCCUGGCUCAGGAUCAACGCUGGCGGCGUGCCUAAUGCAUGCAAGUCGCACGGUCUUCCUUCGGGUUGACAGUGGCGAACGGCUGAGGAACACGUGCGUAUCUGCCUUCUCGUGGGGAAUAACGGGUGGAAACACCCGCUAAUACCGCGUACGCUUGCUUCGGCAAGGAAAGCCGCAAGGCGCGGGGAGAGGAGCGCGCGGCCCAUCAGGUCGAUGGCGGGGUAAUGGCCCACCAUGCCAAUGACGGGUCGCUGGUCUGUGAGGAUGGCCAGCCAGACUGGGACUGCGACACGGCCCAGACACCUACGGGUGGCAGCAGCAAGGAAUCUUCGGCAAUGGGCGCAAGCCUGACCGAGCAACGCCGCGUGGAGGACGACGGCCUUCGGGUUGUAAACUCCUUUUGGGGGGGAUGAUACGGACAGUACCCCCUGAAUAAGCCCCGGCUAACUCUGUGCCAGCAGCCGCGGUAAUACAGAGGGGGCAAGCGUUGUCCGGACUUACUGGGCGUACAGCGCGCACAGGUGGUUGGCUAAGUUCGUGGUGACAGCGUGCGGCUCAACCGCACACGGUCCGUGGAGACUGGCUAACUAGAGGCAUCGAGAGGGAAACGGAAUACCCGGUGGAGCGGUGAAAUGCGUAGAGAUCGGGUGGAACACCAGUGGCGAAGGCGGUUUCCUGGCGAUGACCUGACACUGAGGCGCGACAGCGUGGGGAGCAAACGGGAUUAGAUACCCCGGUAGUCCACGCCGUAAACGAUGUGGAGCCGGUGCUGGCUAGUGAUUGCGCUGGUCGGUGCCCCAGCUUACGCGAUGACUCCACCGCCUGGGAACUACGGCCGCAAGGCUAAACUCAAAGGAAUUGACGGGGCCCGCACAAGCAGCGGAGCGUGUGGUUUAAUUCGACGCACGCGCACCACCUCACCUAGUUUGACAUGCUACUGCAGC